rnacentral:rRNA from 1 species
CCUACGGGAGGCAGCAGUGGGGAAUAUUGCACAAUGGGGGAAACCCUGAUGCAGCAACGCCGCGUGGGUGAAGAAGCGUUUCGGCGCGUAAAGCCCUUUCAGCGGGGAAGAAAAAGGACGGUACCCGACCAAGAAUCCCCGGCUAACUACGUGCCAGCAGCCGCGGUAAUACGUAGGGGGCGAGCGUUAUCCGGAAUUACUGGGGGUAAAGGGAGCGUAGACGGGGAGGGAAGCCUGAAGUGGAAGCCCGCGGCGCAACCGCGGAAUUGCUUUGGGAACUGUUUUGCUGGAGUAUGGGAGGGGUAAGCGGAAUUCAUGGUGUAGCGGUGAAAUGCGUAGAUAUCAGGAGGAACACCGGUGGCGAAGGCGGGUUACUGGACCACAACUGACGUUGAGGCUCGAAAGCGUGGGGAGCGAACAGGAUUAGAUACCCUGGUAGUC